CGCCUCUCCCCCUCCGCGGGGCCGGGGCGGGUGUGUGGAAAGGAGAAGGGCGCCGGCGGAGCGCCGGCCGGAGGGCUCGUCGCUGGCAGCCAGGAGGUUGUAGUACAGAGAUGCUGGAAGGAGCCGUUUCUAGGGAUGUACGCUUGCCACUGCAACCAUACAAGCCGCCUGUACAAACAGCCGCCCCUUGCAGAAGAGAAAAAGAAAGAUGAAGGCAUUUUCCGUCCUUUUGAGAAGAACUCGGUCCCGCCGGUGUCCCCCCCCCCGCGCCUGCUUGCGGUCGGGGGUGCGGGCAGGCCGGGCGGGCAGCGCCGCGUUCCUCAGGCUGCUGUUCUGCCUGCGGUGCUGAAGUGGGUUGCUUUUGGUUUUUGGUUUGGUUUUUUUUUCCCAGCUUUCCUCCUGCCCCCAGGAUUUGGGAUGAGGGAGAUAAAGCUCACCUUCUCCGCGGUCCCACCGCCGCACCUCUGCCAGGCUGGCGAUGCGCAAGGGGGUUCUCGGGGUUUUCUUCGUGGAAGGCAGCGGCACGGUUCCCGCAGGAGCUCCCCAAAUUCUGCACCCGAACCGGUGGCAUCACGUUGGUAUUGGUGGUCCAGUGCAAGGUUCGAGGGGCUAGCUUGGGGGGGGGGGGGGGGGGGGGGAUGGAUUUGCUGUUAAAAACUGAAGGAGGAAAAGCGUGCCGCGUUCAUUCCUGCCUUACGGCUUCCACUGGAAAUCGCAGCCCCUCGGAAGAUUAAAGCAUGACCCACAGAUGCAAUAAAUUUUAAGUUUGGAAUUUAAUUUCUUCAGUGUCCCAACGAGUUUUCUUGAAGGGAUUCAUAUAAAUGACCUUUUUACCGUCUGCGGGGUUGACGCCGAUGCCUGUCACACAUACUGUCAGCCACGGGAGGGGACCGGAGCCACCAGAUCAUCCUUAAAGGAGAAAGAGGCUGGAGCUGGGAUAUAAAGUAGUCUUCUAGGAGUACUGCCAGAACCGAUCUGUUUUACUCUGCUGCUGCUGCUGCUGUUGCUGUUCUGCUGUGUCAUGGGAAGAGAGUUACCUAGCCACACCAACCCUCGGAAACGGCACCUCAGGCAGAGCCGCUUGCUGCAAACCCGAGCCGUGUUUUACAAAGCUGAAGGGAAAAAGACUUUGUGACAUUCUUGAAAACAGAGAAGAGGUUGAUUUGCCACCCAGGAUGGCAUUCAAAGAGCCGUUGCAAGGAGGCGCCUGGGACACCGCUUCACUGCCGUGGCAGGGACCCAGCAUGCCGGCCGGGGAUCCAGCAUGCCGGCCAGCAGCUGCAGAAGGGAGUAAGCCUCCACGGCACGCUUCAUAUUUCUCUUCAACAUCCCCUUUCCUCACUCGCCAGCACGAGGCAUCAACUGGUUUGUUGGUACAAGGGAGAUUGCAGCCUCCUUCGGCUGUCACAUCCUGAACCCCUGCCAGAUUUGUGUUGCAAGAACUGAUGCCAGUGUUUUUAACCCAGAGUGUAUUUGGCCCUUAGUGUUCUCCAUGACAUAGAAUAAACAUUAGGGAGGAGAUUCGGGCUUCAAUGAGAAAUGCUUUCCCAUGAUACGUUUUCAUUUUGGCAUGCACACUGUUUAUGAUGAAAGGAUCCUAAAAUAAUUGUAUUAGAUGAACCGUCUGUUCUUCUUGCUUUGAGGCCAGUACAGCAUGACAUUUCAGAGAUAAAAUGUUGUGGAACAGCCUCUGACUUAUAGCCCAAUGGAACUUUUCCGAAGCCAUUCUUCUUUCUUCUUUUAUUUGCUUGCGGUUUAUAACCUGAAAACGUCAAGCUUGCAUCACAGCAUUGCCAAAAGAUCGUCCUGUGCAUUAGCUAAACCUUAAAUUAUCAGCAAAUUUAAUUUUUCUUCAGAAGGCUAAUUCACAAGCAGUCAGCUCCCUGGUGGAAAAAACUCCUCCCUCCAAUUCAAAGAAAUUCCAGGAUUCACAAGAAAUACUGCAUUUCCAAGAGGACACUCUGUCUGUCCUUAGGAGAACUUAUUUCUGUGUGCAAGUUCAAGUGAGUCUACGGGACCUUAAAUCAAAGGAGACCAAUGCCAGGUCUGGGAAGACAACAAGCUCUGGCCAUGUCUUAAAUCUGCAUCCAAGAAAGACCGACAUACGCACCAGCCUGUCCGCUGUGCAAAGGACACCCAAGCCACAGUGUUCUUCACGCUAGGAGAGCACCAGGACCAUACCACAGCAAGCCCCAUCAGACCCCUCGCGACGUCCUUCAGGCUUGCAGCGUGAGCUCCGGGAUGCUGCUCCAGCACGACCGGAGGAUGGGGAAUAGCACCCGCGUUUCACCUGGUGUGCUGAAGUUCUCAGACGGUCGGACGUGGGACCCCAGAGGACACGCAGGAUGCCAGAGCUGGUGAACCUGUUGGGCGUCUUCAGCUGAAUUUAAUAGAGAGAUGGAGAACUCAGAAGUGCAAAAUUUCUGGAAGUUUAAUGAAAGCAAGCAGGCAAAGGGGAGCAGCAAGGAAGACAGAGAUUGCAGACUGACUGCAACUCCCCUGGGAAUCCAGAUAGAAAUGAAGUCUUGUAAGACCUUCACCUGCAAGCAAGACAGGGGUACAUAAGCAGCUGGAGCAAGAACAGCAAUGAAGCUCCAGGAACCACAAGACCGUUUGCCAGUGAUGCAGUUGGAGAUGCUCUUCCUAGGGAGCAGCUCUUCCUCCAGCCUCCACGUGCCAGGACAGAUUGUCUUUCAGAUGAGUGACAAACUCCAUGCCCUCAAACCCAGCACCGGCUCCAGGAGUGACAUUGCCAUGCUUUCUCAUAAGGACAGUGUGUUCCUCCUCGUCAUCCAUCCAGGCGGUGACCUGAGUCCUUUGCCCUCCUCUUCCCCCAUCCCUCCAUCAGCUUCGUGCUGAGAGCUGUGCACAGUGUUGCAGUGGGGAGAGGACACAUGGGACAUGAUGGCCAGCAGCAACAUCUGGGGCACGUUGGGUGGAGACAGGGACUCCAUCGUGCUUAUCCCCUUGAUAAAUGAGAUGCUAGACCCUUGGAGGCUCAGCCACUCUACCCACUGGUGCGUGAGGGCUCACAGUGUAUUUAUCUAUUGGGAAAUGCCCUUGAACCUCCAGGAACCUGCUAACCCCCCAGCAGAACCUUUUUAUGGUGCAAGCAGGUCUCCUCUGCCCAUCAGCCACAGCGUAGCACUUCGGGCAGCUGCCUGCACUUCCAUCAACACAAAGCUCCUGCCAAAGGCAACCUGUUAUCCCAAAUAGGAGCACAUCGGUUUUACGCUCUCAGACUGUGCAGGAAAAGGGGUCAUUUCACUCAGCGAUUUCUGCCAGUUUCCACCAAAGUGAUCACAAUUCAGGGUCCGUUUCUGUAUUGGAUGCCAACCACAUAACGCUCUUAAUCUUGGUAAUUGUAGUUUAUUAAGGUUCUUGGAAACUGGCAAAAUGGCUUUCAGAGGAAUAAAAAAAAAAUCCCAAACUCCAAAUCAGUGAGGAAAUUCCCUCAGUGGAUCAUGGCUGAAAACAAACAUGUUUUUGUGCUUCCAGAAAAUCGGCAAGACUAACAGUGCCAUUGUUUGUGUAAGGGGGAUUUCCACAUUUCAGGGAACAGCUUGGAAGCCGUUGCAGCGGCUGCCCUCAGGAGAGCAGGAGAUGUGAACGAGCAUCGGGAAAAAUCACAGCAGGUUAAAAAUCAUGGGAUUUUAUAAAAUUAUCAUAGAGAUUUGGGUUAUGUUUUGUUUUGUUUUCUUUUCUUUUCUGUGCCUGCUGUCGGAACCUUUAGGGGGCAUAUUUUCCUCCUUUCCUCAUAGCAUGAGGACCACAAGUAUACCAGUCUAUUUUUGCCCCUAAUAAAAGCUCCUUGUCACAGAGCUACGUGACUCGGGGCACCCUUGCGUCAAAGGCAGCAUGAAAUAUCACAAGAUUUAUAAUAAAAUUACACGAGUCGGCAAUGCCGAAACCUACCAUGAGAAAUGAGUACCCCACCCAGAUAAAAAAAACAAGCCUGUUUUUUAAAAGCUGUGCUGGGCUGUGCAUUAGGACAACGCAAUUUUGUCCUGCUGUGGACUGGAAGCAAAGGGGUUCAUCUGCGAAGUGUCUGCUCUCACCAUCCUUCCCACGUGAGCAAGGAGGGGGUCCAUGCCAGGGCAGCCCCGUUGGCUUCAGACCAGGUCCUCUUCUCCAUCCAGCUGUUGUGUUGGAGGAUGGGGCCGAUCUGCCAGCGGUGUGGGUGGGUGCUGCCUCACCACAGCUGGCUGCUUUGUGGGAGCUGAUUUCACCCGAAACAUGAUCCCACCAUGGAGAUCUUCACGGUGGGGCAGUGAUCUCUGGUGAAGAGGCGCUGGUGUCUUCUGCAUCUCAAGAGAGCAUCCAUCUCAUGCCUGGGGCUAAAGAAGGUCAAGCAGCCCAGCAAGACCAGCUGAUCCCUCUGGUCUCUUGUCAGGACUUGUGGGAUGAAUUUUUGCACUCCCAAUGUCCCCAUGUUGCCUCCACACUUGCUACCUAGGAUCGCAGUCCCUUUGCAGAUGAAGGACCCCAUGGAGAUCACCUGUACGCUGUAUCACCCUGGAAGUGCCAGCAGAGAGCACCAGGCUGAUCCCAUUAAUUCUGAAAGGUCUAAAAGCAAGGAUCCUCUACAUGCUGCUGUUGGUCUGGGAGGCAGGGACCACAUCAAAUCCAGGCUUGGUCAAGGCAAACCCAAAGCUUUCUCCUAUUGCUGGCCAAUAUUUUAUUCCUUUUAAAUACCACAAGACCAAAAACCAUCCAAAGAGAGACUCAGCAUUUCUUCAGGUCCUCAGGAGCGGAGGGAACUCAGGAGAGACUUGCUGCCUUGCAGGGCUCUGCCCAAGGCAGGGACCAAAGACCAGGCAGGGACAGAGCCCACUGGCCAAGGACAGAGCCGUGGGGACGGC